rnacentral:rRNA from 1 species
AAACACGGACCAAGGAGUCUAACAUUUUUGCGAGUAGAAUACCGUGUAGAGUAUAUACUUAAUGGAAGUGUACAGCUGUUAAUAGAGCCAAGUGUACCACCUUGAUAUUGUUUCGUAGGUGAGUUGGAGUAAAAACGUUAGAGCCCGAAAGAUGGUGAACUAUGCUUGGGUAGGGUGAAGCCAGAGGAAACUCUGGUGGAGGCUCGUAUCAGUACUGACGUGCAAAUCGUUUGACAAACUUGAGUAUAGGGGCGACAGACUAAUCGAACUAUCUAGUAGCUG